GCUGUCAGCGGACUGCUCGAGCU
rnacentral:siRNA from 1 species